rnacentral:tRNA from 1 species
GGAUCCGUAGCUCAGGCAGGAUAGAGUGCUUCGCUUCGGACGAAGAGGUCGUGGGUUCGAAUCCCACCGGGUCCG